CGCCCGGAUUCAUUUGAAUGAGGGACAACAUCACAGUAAACGGGAAUGAAGUGUGAUUUAACGGCAGAACGAGCCUUUCACGGCAAAAACAACAAGCCAUCUGAACCUGAACCUUUACCCUUAACCCUGGACCCUGUACCUGUCUGCCUGCCUGCUUUCCAUGAACCUGAUCUGGGCCUGCAACUGUAGCUCCCAGCCUGCUUCCCAGUCCACUAGCCUCCUGUCCUAAUCUGGUCUCCACUGUCCUGUCACUGGCCACCAUACCCCUCCAUCACCAGCCUCCUUCCUCUGGUAUCCAGCGGUUCAGCUGUGUAGCACCCUGCCCUGAUCUGAAGCUGGAUAUUCUGCUGCCAGCUGCCUUUCCUGACCUACAGCCUCCUGCUCGCCCUCCAGAGCAACUCUGCCUCCAGGCUACCAUCCAGAGCGGCUCCAUCCAUCUGCCCUGA